AGAGUUUGAUCAUGGCUCAGAACGAACGCUGGCGGCAUGCCUAACACAUGCAAGUCGAACGAAGUCUUCGGACUUAGUGGCGCACGGGUGCGUAACGCGUGGGAAUCUGCCCUUGGGUGCGGAAUAACUUCUCGAAAGGGAUGCUAAUACCGGAUGAUGACGUAAGUCCAAAGAUUUAUCGCCCAAGGAUGAGCCCGCGUAGGAUUAGCUAGUUGGUGAGGUAAAGGCUCACCAAGGCGACGAUCCUUAGCUGGUCUGAGAGGAUGAUCAGCCACACUGGGACUGAGACACGGCCCAGACUCCUACGGGAGGCAGCAGUGGGGAAUAUUGGACAAUGGGCGAAAGCCUGAUCCAGCAAUGCCGCGUGAGUGAUGAAGGCCUUAGGGUUGUAAAGCUCUUUUACCCGGGAUGAUAAUGACAGUACCGGGAGAAUAAGCUCCGGCUAACUCCGUG
rnacentral:rRNA from 1 species